GUCUGAUUUGACACCAUAUCAAAACGCGAUUCUCCCCUCUAAACGCGCUUCCCUUUGGGUUUCCAAUUCGUUUUUCGGACAGCUGAAGGUGUUCAUUCUCUGCCACGUUUUCGUUCCAUUGUAGAUGACAUUGUUCAGUCUCUUUCUCUCUGAGCCUGCAAACACCAAUGAGGCAGCACAAGCAGGUUUCAGCCCUUAACCGGCGACCCACCGUUCUUUAUCUGGUGUGCGCGGCUGCAUUGUUCUCAGUCCUUCUCUUCUACAUCCAAUCCUCUCUCUUCGCAGGAUCCCUUUCUUCGGCUCGCAAAUCCGAAAUUAUCCGCGUCUUGUCUAACUUUCAGUCCAGUGUUCAGCAAUGUGUGGAUAAGAGGGGGCUAGGACUCACUGCUCAUAUUAUUGACCAUUGUAAUUUGAUCCUUAAAUACCCUGAAGGUACCAACAGCUCUUGGUACAACGCACAGUUUAAGCACUUUGAGCCGUUGGAGUACAAAUAUGAUGUGUGUGAGGCAAUCCUGUUGUGGGAACAGUAUCGGAACAUGACAACUGUGUUGACCAGAGAGUAUCUUGAUUCUCGACCUGGUGGUUGGAUGGAUUACGCUCCACAAAGGAUAGCACAGUUGGGGGCAAAGAAGUGCACCAACAAGACUCUUUGUGAAGAGAACCUCAAUGUGUUAUUACCUGCAAAGCCCCCAUUUCACCCACGGCAGUUCCCAACUUGUGCUGUUGUUGGGAAUUCUGGGGACCUUCUGAAGACUACAUUCGGGAAAGAAAUUGAUAGCCAUGAUGCUGUUUUUCGGGACAAUGAGGCCCCUGUUAAUGAGGAAUAUGCCAAAUAUGUUGGCCUUAAGAGGGAUUUCCGUCUAGUUGUCAGAGGUGCUGCGCGUAACAUGGUCCCUAUUCUAAAAGGAUCUGACACUGAGGUUCUCAUAAUCAAAAGUCUGACACAUAGAGAAAUCAAUGCAGUUAUAAAGACCAUACCCAAUCCAGUCUAUCUCUUCCAAGGAAUCGUACUACGUCGAGGUGCCAAAGGAACUGGAAUGAAAUCUAUUGAGUUAGCGCUCUCCAUGUGUGAUAUCAUUGAUAUAUAUGGAUUCACUGUUGAUCCGGGAUACACUGAAUGGACAAGAUACUUCUCUAAGCCUAGAAAGGGACACAAUCCACUUCAAGGAAGAGCGUAUUACCAACUUCUAGAAUGUCUUGGGGUAAUCAGGAUUCACUCGCCCAUGAGAUCUAAAAGGAGGGAAGACUGGUCAGAUAUACCUAGUAGAGAAAUGAUAAGGCAAGCACAUGCAGCAGCUUUGCGCUUGAAAAGGAAUGAAGACGGUCAUGGAGGUGAUUUAGGGCAGUUUGGCAAUUGUAAGGUGUGGGGCAAUGUGGAUCCAGAGAACAGUGGACCUGUCUCAGGAUCACCAGACAUGAGUGAUGUCAGGAAAUAUUCAAAUUAUAGUAAAUGGGAAGUGAUGCCUUUUGAGAGUUUGAGGAGGGAAGCACAGGAUCAUUAUAACCAGAUGCAAGGGGUCUCUCUAUAUAAAAUGGACGGAAAUAAGUUGGAUGAUCUAGUCUGUGUGAGACAUUCCUUAAAAUCUGAGGCGUAAAUGGUGCCUUUGCUUUCUAUUGAUAUUAUUUGAUCUUGCCCAACCUUCUAACGAAUCUGGGAUGAAGUUACUUUCUGAGGGCUGCUGACAUAGCUUCCCAACAGCGUUCUGUUUCUUCACUUAUUCAGCCAGAGCGUAGCACCAAUCUCAACCUCAAGUGAAAAAAUGGAGAGAAUAUGCAUAAUUCCACCAAUCCAGGUGAUUCAUGUUAGGGCCUAGAAAUCAAACUACAGGAAUUCUGACCCCAGAAGUUUGUUGUACCAUUUUUUUUUCAGUUCUGGAAUGGACAGUCCUUAGUCCGUGGCAUGAUAGGGUAUUUCGGGGAGAGGCUUGUGAUGAUCUUGGAGGAACUUUCUGUGAAAGUUUCAGAAGAAUGAGUAUUAGACCGAACACAAAAUCUUCAUGUUUUCAUGUCUACUUAACUUUUCAUAUCAACUUCUAGUGAUUGAUGUGUUUGGUUGUACAUAGUUACGGACUCUUUUGAGUUUCGUAUAAAUUUUACAAUAAUUAUACACUAAAUUUGAUAGCUUUGGCUCUCUCUUC